rnacentral:rRNA from 1 species
CAGUCGAGCGAAUGGAUUAAGAGCUUGCUCUUAUGAAGUUAGCGGCGGACGGGUGAGUAACACGUGGGUAACCUGCCCAUAAGACUGGGAUAACUCCGGGAAACCGGGGCUAAUACCGGAUAACAUUUUGAACUGCAUGGUUCGAAAUUGAAAGGCGGCUUCGGCUGUCACUUAUGGAUGGACCCGCGUCGCAUUAGCUAGUUGGUGAGGUAACGGCUCACCAAGGCAACGAUGCGUAGCCGACCUGAGAGGGUGAUCGGCCACACUGGGACUGAGACACGGCCCAGACUCCUACGGGAGGCAGCAGUAGGGAAUCUUCCGCAAUGGACGAAAGUCUGACGGAGCAACGCCGCGUGAGUGAUGAAGGCUUUCGGGUCGUAAAACUCUGUUGUUAGGGAAGAACAAGUGCUAGUUGAAUAAGCUGGCACCUUGACGGUACCUAACCAGAAAGCCACGGCUAACUACGUGCCAGCAGCCGCGGUAAUACGUAGGUGGCAAGCGUUAUCCGGAAUUAUUGGGCGUAAAGCGCGCGCAGGUGGUUUCUUAAGUCUGAUGUGAAAGCCCACGGCUCAACCGUGGAGGGUCAUUGGAAACUGGGAGACUUGAGUGCAGAAGAGGAAAGUGGAAUUCCAUGUGUAGCGGUGAAAUGCGUAGAGAUAU